rnacentral:rRNA from 1 species
GUAAGGAAUAUUGGACAAUGGACGCAAGUCUGAUCCAGCCAUGCCGCGUGAAGGAUUAAGGUCCUCUGGAUUGUAAACUUCUUUUAUAAGGGACGAAAAAAGGCUUUUCUAAGUCGUCUGACGGUACCUUAUGAAUAAGCACCGGCUAACUCCGUGCCAGCAGCCGCGGUAAUACGGAGGGUGCAAGCGUUAUCCGGAUUCACUGGGUUUAAAGGGUGCGUAGGCGGGCAGGUAAGUCAGUGGUGACAUCCUAGAGCUUAACUCUAGAACUGCAAUUGAUACUAUCUGGCUUGAAUAUUGUGGAGGUAAGCGGAAUAUGUCAUGUAGCGGUGAAAUGCUUAGAUAUGACAUAGAACACCUAUUGCGAAGGCAGCUUACUACGCAUAUAUUGACGCUGAGGCACGAAAGCGUGGGGAUCAAACAGGAUUAGAUACCCUAGUAGUCC